CCAGACUCCUACGGGAGGCAGCAGUGAGGAAUAUUGGUCAAUGGGCGGAAGCCUGAACCAGCCAAGUCGCGUGAGGGAAUAAGGCCCUACGGGUCGUAAACCUCUUUUGCCGGGGAGCAAGGGCGGGGACGUGUCCCGGCCCGGAGAGUACCCGGAGAAAAAGCAUCGGCUAACUCCGUGCCAGCAGCCGCGGUAAUACGGAGGAUGCGAGCGUUAUCCGGAUUUAUUGGGUUUAAAGGGUGCGUAGGCGGGCUUUUAAGUCAGCGGUAAAAAUUCGGGGCUCAACCCCGUCCGGCCGUUGAAACUGGGGGCCUUGAGUGGGCGAGAAGAAGGCGGAAUGCGUGGUGUAGCGGUGAAAUGCAUAGAUAUCAGGAGGAACACCAGUGGCGAAGGCGGCUUACUGGACUGUAACUGACGUUGAGGCUCGAAAGCGUGGGGAGCAAACAGGAUUAGAUACCCUUGUAC
rnacentral:rRNA from 1 species